UCUUGGGUAGCUCAGUCAGCAGAGCAUAAGACUCUUCAUAUCAGGGUUGUGGGUUUGAGCCCCACGUUGGGCA